CGACGUAGGAGUUCCUGCUACUGAACAGCUGAUCCAGCUACAAGCGCACCUGGAGACGAGCCAGGGCUUCGCCCAGAGACAGCGUUCCCGGCAGGCUGACUGUCUCCGUCAACAGGUUGACAGUGUUGUUAAGAAGUUUUAUGGUGUGUUGGUAUUCAUCAACUGUGGGACUGAGUUCAAGAUCUAUGAGCUACAGACAGAGCACCAAACAACAUGCAGCUGAUUGACAACGUGGUUCAAGCAUUCAAAACCAUGAAGUGCAAAAGGUCACUAAAGAUUCUUCUUCUGCAUUCCCAUU